rnacentral:rRNA from 1 species
CCUACGGGUGGCUGCAGUGGGGAAUAUUGGACAAUGGGGGGAACCCUGAUCCAGCCAUGCCGCGUGUGUGAAGAAGGCCCUCGGGUUGUAAGCACUUUCAGUGAGGAAGAACGCCUGGUGGUUAAUACCCAUCAGGAAAGACAUCACUCACAGAAGAAGCACCGGCUAACUCCGUGCCAGCAGCCGCGGUAAUACGGAGGGUGCGAGCGUUAAUCGGAAUUACUGGGCGUAAAGCGCGCGUAGGUGGCUUGAUAAGCCGGUUGUGAAAGCCCCGGGCUCAACCUGGGAACGGCAUCCGGAACUGUCAAGCUAGAGUGCAGGAGAGGAAGGUAGAAUUCCCGGUGUAGCGGUGAAAUGCGUAGAGAUCGGGAGGAAUACCAGUGGCGAAGGCGGCCUUCUGGACUGACACUGACACUGAGGUGCGAAAGCGUGGGUAGCAAACAGGAUUAGAUACCCGAGUAGUC